GACGAACGCUGGCGGCGUGCCUAAUACAUGCAAGUCGAACGCAGUGGGGACGGGUGAGUAACACGUGGGUAACCUCCCAUCAGAGGGGAUAACACUUGGAAACAGGUGCUAAACCGAUACUGAUGGAUGACCCCGCGGUGCAUUAGCUCGUUGGUGAGGUAACGGCUCACCAAGGCCAGGAUGCAUAGCCGACCGGUGAGGGUGGUCGGCCACACUGGGACUGAAACACGGACCAGCCUCCUACGCGAGGCAACAGAAGGGAAUCGUCGGCAAGGGAAGAAAGUCUAACCGAGCAACGCCGCGUGAGUGAAGAAGGUUUUCGGAUCGUAAAACUCUGUUGUUAGAGAAGCGGUAUCUAACCAGAAAGCCACGGCUAACUACGUGCCAGCAGCCGCGGUAAUUC
rnacentral:rRNA from 1 species